rnacentral:rRNA from 1 species
CCUACGGGUGGCAGCAGUGAGGAAUAUUGGUCAAUGGACGAGAGUCUGAACCAGCCAAGUAGCGUGAAGGAUGACUGCCCUAUGGGUUGUAAACUUCUUUUAUAAAGGAAUAAAACGAGGCACGUGUGCCUUUUUGCAUGUACUUUAUGAAUAAGGAUCGGCUAACUCCGUGCCAGCCGCCGCGGUAAUACGGAGGAUCCGAGCGUUAUCCGGAUUUAUUGUGUUUAAAGGGAGCGUAGAUGGGUUGUUAAGUCAGUUGUGAAAGUUUGCGGCUCAACCGUAAAAUUGCAAUUGAUACUGGCAGUCUUGAGUACAGUUGAGGUAAGCGGAAUUCGUGGUGUAGCGGUGAAAUGCUUAGAUAUCACGAAGAACCCCGAUUGCGAAGGCAGCUUACUAAACUGUGACUGACAUUGAUGCUCGAAAGUGUGGGUAUCAAACAGGAUUAGAUACCCCUGUAGUC